rnacentral:rRNA from 1 species
CAGCCGCCGCGGUAAUACGUAGGUGGCAAGCGUUGUCCGGAAUUAUUGGGCGUAAAGGGCUCGCAGGCGGUUUCUUAAGUCUGAUGUGAAAGCCCCCGGCUCAACCGGGGAGGGUCAUUGGAAACUGGGAAACUUGAGUGCAGAAGAGGAGAGUGGAAUUCCACGUGUAGCGGUGAAAUGCGUAGAGAUGUGGAGGAACACCAGUGGCGAAGGCGACUCUCUGGUCUGUAACUGACGCUGAGGAGCAAAGCGUGGGGAGCGAACAGGAUUAGAGACCCGCGUAGUCCCUGUCUCUUAUACC